GUUACGAUCGCACGACUCUGGCACAAGUUGGGACUACACUACGCCAUAACCGCGAGGACUUGGGCGAGUAAGAGGAUAAUCAGUGCAGGACGUGCAGGGACCGGGACCGGCACACCGCCACCGAGACAAGUUCGCCGGUGAAAGCUAAGCCUUCGGAAAGUCGGCCAUUUUUGUCUCUCUCUCUCUUUUUUCUCUCGCUCUUUAUUUAUUUACUUAUUUAUUUAUUUUUAUUUUCUUUUUGCAGAACGAGAGCACGAGCCGCUCGAGGAGGAGUCCUCGGUGGCCGGUCGAUCGGCCGAUCGAUCGAAGAAUCGGUCGGUCGGGGUAAAAGUUUCGGUACCUCCGUUCGCCUCUACACGGUAUCACGGAUAGCUCAACGAGAUCUACGAGUGCAGAGCUAGAGGUGUGGCAGCGGAGCGUGCGCGCCUAGCAACAUGAUCGUCGGAUCGUCGGAUCGUCAGACUCCGAGAGUGAACCAGGCGGCAAAAGGAAGCGAACCAGAUGGGGAGGAUGACGUUACGAGACACGAGAAAAAUUUAUGAUAAUAAAUUUCGCAGUACCGAAGUGUCUGUAAAAUCCGUUUACCAUGACGUAAUCGCGCAUGUUCGAUGCAUAAACGUGCCUCGUCUACGUGUACGUACGUAAUUUUAGAAGAAAAAAAAAAACAUAAUUCUACCAGCCACCCAAAGUCGUUUUAUUCGUUCGGAUCAUUUCGCGUGUCUUCUCAUCGUGUCGCCUAAAAUUCCAUCCGACGUUAGUUCUGGUUCGGACUUUUUAAUUUCUCUUUUUGCCACCGUCAUUUUUACCCCGAAUUUUUAAGGCGGCCAAUUAGCUAAUUGAACGUAAAUUGUUUUAAGCUAAAACCUGCGGGACAGGUAGACGACGCGUACGUGUCGCACGAUGCACGUGAGACUAACAAGUAGAAGGAUAUAACGUAAUGUUAACGCGCGUCAUGUUCUCUCUCGUCAACUGGGUUAAAUUACAUCGAAAUACAUCGCAUGACACGAGUAGCUGUCACGUCCGCAGCUAAACUUGUACGCUUCUCGUAUAGUUUAAUAUAAUUGUGCGACUAUACAUGAAAUAUGUACAACGAGGAUAACCGUAGAGCGUUGUGAACAACAACAAAAAAAAACAAAAAAACCAGAAAGGAUUUUUAAGAAAAAUGCGACAACGGAUUCGGAAUUUUUCCUACCGGCGAACGCAUGCGCGACGAAGAAUGGAAUAACGUGCUAAGAGUACGAGAUGGCCACGGAUAACGAUUAGAAUAAAAAUUAGGAUAACAACAAUAACGCAAUUCAACGGGUUAACGUUCGUUCGCGAGGCGAAGUUAUGGAUGCGUGGAUAAAUUAUUCGAUUCGUACGGGUGGUACAGAGCCUAUCGGGCGCUAGCUUGUGCACCGAUGGAAUUUAAUGUGCGAAACGACGCGCGGGAUAUGAGAGAAAGAAUAAUAAGAAAAAAAUAAUAAUAAUAAUAACAAUAAAUAAUC